GAGGGUAUAGCUCAAUGGUAGAGUGUGUGCUUAGCAUGCACAAGGUCCUGGGUUCAACUCCCAGUUCCUUCG
rnacentral:tRNA from 1 species